rnacentral:rRNA from 1 species
AGUGAACGCUGGCGGUAGGCCUAACACAUGCAAGUCGAACGGCAGCACAGUAAGAGCUUGCUCUUACGGGUGGCGAGUGGCGGACGGGUGAGGAAUACAUCGGAAUCUACUUUUUCGUGGGGGAUAACGUAGGGAAACUUACGCUAAUACCGCAUACGACCUACGGGUGAAAGCAGGGGAUCUUCGGACCUUGCGCGAUUGAAUGAGCCGAUGUCGGAUUAGCUAGUUGGCGGGGUAAAGGCCCACCAAGGCGACGAUCCGUAGCUGGUCUGAGAGGAUGAUCGGCCACACUGGAACUGAGACACGGUCCAGACUCCUACGGGAGGCAGCAGUGGGGAAUAUUGGACAAUGGGCGCAAGACUGAUCCAGCCAUACCGCGUGGGUGAAGAAGGCCUUCGGGUUGUAAAGCCCUUUUGUUGGGAAAGAAAAGCAGCAGGUUAAUACCCCGCUGUUCCGACGGUACCCAAAGAAUAAGCACCGGCUAACUUCGUG